GAUGAACGCUGGCGGCGUGCUUAACACAUGCAAGUCGAACGGAGUUUUAAGAGACGAACUUUUCGGAGUAAGUUUUUUAAAACUUAGUGGCGGACGGGUGAGUAACGCGUGGGUAACCUGCCUUAUACAGGGGGAUAACAGUUAGAAAUGACUGCUAAUACCGCAUAAGCGCACAGGGCCGCAUGGCCUGGUGUGAAAAACUGAGGUGGUAUAAGAUGGACCCGCGUUGGAUUAGCUGGUUGGUGGGGUAACGGCCCACCAAGGCGACGAUCCCGAGCCGGCCUGAGAGGGUGAACGGCCACAUUGGGACUGAGACACGGCACAAACUCCUACGGGAGGCAGCAGUGGGGAAUAUUGCACAAUGGGGGAAACCCUGAUGCAGCGACGCCGCGUGAAGGAAGAAGUAUUUCGGUAUGUAAACUUCUAUCAGCAGGGAAGAAAGUGACGGUACCUGACUAAGAAGCCCCGGCUAACUACGUGCCAGCAGCCGCCGUAA
rnacentral:rRNA from 1 species